UACGGGGGGGGCAAGCGUUGUUCGGAAUUACUGGGCGUAAAGGGCUCGUAGGCGGCCAACUAAGUCGGACGUGAAAUCCCCAGGCUCAACUUGGGAACUGCGUCCGAUACUGAUUGGCUUGAAUCCGGGAGAGGGAUGCAGAAUUCCAGGUGUAGCGGUGAAAUGCGUAGAGAUGUGGAGGAACACCAGUGGCGAAGGCGGCUUUUUGGUCUGUAACUGACGCUGAGGCGCGAAAGCGUGGGGAGCAAACAGG
rnacentral:rRNA from 1 species